CACAAGCGGUGGAUGAUGUGGUUUAAUUCGAUGCAACGACGAAAACCUUACCCACCUUUGACAUGUACGGAAUCCUUUAGAGAUAGAGGAGUGCUCGAAAGAGAACCGUAACACAGGUGCUGCAUGGCUGUCGUCAGCUCGUGUCGUGAGAUGUUGGGUUAAGUCCCGCAACGAGCGCAACCCUUGUCAUUAGUUGCUACAUUCAGUUGGGCACUCUAAUGAGACUGCCGGUGACAAACCGGAGGAAGGUGGGGAUGACGUCAAGUCCUCAUGGCCCUUAUAGGUGGGGCUACACACGUCAUACAAUGGUCGGUAUAAAGGGCAGCUACACCGCGAGGUGAUGCUAAUCUCUAAAGCCGGUCUCAGUUCGGAUCGAAGUCUGCAACCCGACUUCGUGAAGUUGGAUUCGCUAGUAAUCGCGCAUCAGCCAUGGCGCGGUGAAUACGUUCCCGGGCCUU
rnacentral:rRNA from 1 species